AGAUUGAACGCUGGCGGAAUGCUUUACACAUGCAAGUCGAACGGCAGCACGGGGGGCAACCCUGGUGGCGAGUGGCGAACGGGUGAGUAAUACAUCGGAACGUGCCCAGUCGUGGGGGAUAACUACGCGAAAGCGUAGCUAAUACCGCAUACGAUCUACGGAUGAAAGCGGGGGAUCGCAAGACCUCGCGCGAUUGGAGCGGCCGAUGGCAGAUUAGGUAGUUGGUGGGGUAAAGGCUCACCAAGCCGUCGAUCUGUAGCUGGUCUGAGAGGACGACCAGCCACACUGGGACUGAGACACGGCCCAGACUCCUACGGGAGGCAGCAGUGGGAAUUUGGACAAUGGGCGAAAGCCUGAUCCAGCCAUUCCGCGUGCAGGAUGAAGGCCCUCGGUUGUAAACUGCUUUUGGACGGUAACGAAAAGCGCCGGUUAAUACCGUCGGCGUCAUGACGGUACGCAGAAUAAGCACCGCUAACUACGUGACCAGCAGCCG
rnacentral:rRNA from 1 species